ACUGUGAACUGUAAAUCGUACCCACAAAAUAACGAAAUUACGCGAGCAGACCCAGCGGCCGCGGGCGGUUUAUAGCUAUGGCGGAGGGCUGUUAAGUGUGACGUCACGGUUCCAACAGCUGACUGCGCUAAUGCUGUAGAGAUAGGGGAUUAUCUAGAAAGGUGUAUUGUGGCGAUUCAAAAAUUGUCCGACCCUGAUUUGGAAUUUCUUUGGAAACUUAGAUGGAUGAAUAACAUUUCUGAAAUUGAUUUGCUUCAAGUUUCAUCGAAAUUUGGCUGAAAAAGCCCAAAGAAAUGUGAGGCUACUAAAUUCACAAUGGUGUUAGCAUUUGUGGCGCAUAUGUGACAUUUGGUGAAAACCACGUGAAAACAAUAGUACGUUACGGACAUUUGCACGUUUCUGGGCUGCAGGCUGUGUUUGACGUGUUUGGGCAUGGUGUGAGCUAUCAUGGCCUUCGUUAGUGUUGCAGCCAUAGGUGAUUUUUUUCAAACUAUGUCCAGUGUGAUUGAGAAGGGUGAAAGAGCAUUGGAUGGUGGCAAAAUCCGAUCCAUUGCCCUGCAGGAUGGCAAAUACAUUGUGGCUUCUGUUGAGGCCAGCAUGAAGAAAAGGACCUAUGAUGUUCAAAAAAGAACAUGGCAUUGACUUCGGGCGACAUCUAUACUAUUCCUCACGAGACUGCCGACCAGCGCCAUCUAGCCAGGAAAACAAGAGAAGAGACUGAGAGCCACGAAUGCGGACUUCUGACCAAGACGACCCUUUAUAACAUUUAAUCCAGCUAAUCAACGAACGCCGAGUUUUCGUAAUACUCUAUGGUUGAUUUAUGUAACUAUGGCCGACAUAAGAUAGCUGCCGUCCAGUCGCGAGGCAGCGCUGCGCCAGUGCUCACGAUCGCGUCGUACCCUGAUGGAUCCGUGUUUCAAUCAUUGCUUCUUUGCGUUGCUUCUGCUGGUAUAUAUUGCGAAUAAUAAUAUAUACUGAGACACGAA
rnacentral:misc_RNA from 1 species